rnacentral:lncRNA from 1 species
UGAAAAAGUCCAGCAUGAACUCAGACAGGCCACAGACCAGGACCAGAGCCUCCUGUAGAUCAAGCUGCUGCAGAAGGAGCAAUGAGCAUGCCUGCACCCUUGAGAGACCUGAGGAGGAUGAAGGAAAAUACGGACAACUUGAAUCCAUGACAGUCUUCAGUCUAGGAUCAAGGCCUCCUCACAAAAGCCAUCUCCUUGUAGAUGAGAACUCAACGGUGAGUCAGAUAUCAGCCACACCCAGUGCA